CCUACGGGAUGCAGCAGUGGGGGAUAUUGGACAAUGGGGGGAACCCUGAUCCAGCGACGCCGCGUGAGUGAAGAAGUAUUUCGGUAUGUAAAGCUCUGUCAGCAGGGAAGAAAGAAAUGACGGUACCUGACCAAGAAGCCCCGGCUAACUACGUGCCAGCAGCCGCGGUAAUACGUAGGGGGCAAGCGUUAUCCGGACUUACUGGGUGUAAAGGGAGCGUAGACGGUUAAGUAAGUCUGGAGUGAAAGGCCGGGGCCCAACCCCGGGACUGCUCUGGAAACUAUUUAACUUGAGUGCAGGAGAGGUAAGCGGAAUUGCUAGUGUAGCGGUGAAAUGCGUAGAUAUUAGGAGGAACACCAGUGGCGAAGGCGACCUGCUAGAACAUAACUGACGCUGAUGCGCGAAAGCGUGGGGAGCAAACAGGAUUAGAUACCCGGGUAGUC
rnacentral:rRNA from 1 species